rnacentral:tRNA from 2 species
GCCGGGGUGGCGGAAUCGGCAGACGCACGGGACUUAAAAUCCCGGGUCCUGAAAGGGGCGUGUGGGUUCAAGUCCCACCCUCGGCACCA